rnacentral:rRNA from 1 species
CUUAGCUUGCUAAGGCUGAUGGCGACCGGCGCACGGGUGAGUAACACGUAUCCAACCUGCCGUCUACUCUUGGCCAGCCUUCUGAAAGGAAGAUUAAUCCAGGAUGGCAUCAUGAGUUCACAUGUCCGCAUGAUUAAAGGUAUUUUCCGGUAGACGAUGGGGAUGCGUUCCAUUAGAUAGUAGGCGGGGUAACGGCCCACCUAGUCAACGAUGGAUAGGGGUUCUGAGAGGAAGGUCCCCCACAUUGGAACUGAGACACGGUCCAAACUCCUACGGGAGGCAGCAGUGAGGAAUAUUGGUCAAUGGGCGAUGGCCUGAACCAGCCAAGUAGCGUGAAGGAUGACUGCCCUAUGGGUUGUAAACUUCUUUUAUAAAGGAAUAAAGUCGGGUAUGCAUACCCGUUUGCAUGUACUUUAUGAAUAAGGAUCGGCUAACUCCGUGCCAGCAGCCGCGGUAAUACGGAGGAUCCGAGCGUUAUCCGGAUUUAUUGGGUUUAAAGGGAGCGUAGAUGGAUGUUUAAGUCAGUUGUGAAAGUUUGCGGCUCAACCGUAAAAUUGCAGUUGAUACUGGAUGUCUUGAGUGCAGUUGAGGCCAGGCGGAAUUCGUGGUGUAGCGGUGAAAUGCUUAGAUAUCACGAAGAACUCCGAUUGCGAAGGCAGCCUGCUAAGCUGCAAC